CAGCAUUCCCCGGACUGCUCAGGAUGGACCUCUUUGCCUUCCUGUGGUGUUUGCAUUGCUUCUUGCAUGUUAAUAAUUAACAGGAAUCUCUUAGGCCAGUACCUCAGGAGCUGCGUGCAUCUUCCUGAUGGGCUUUGCAGGACAAGCCUUCACCCCAGAGGAACAUGGACCACUGGGAGGCUAGAUACUAGGAAAAAAUUCUUCUCAGAAGGAGUGGUGAUGCAGUGGCACAGGCUGCCCAGGGAACUGGUGGGGUCACCAUCCCUGGAGAUGUUCCAGAACUGUGAAGUUGUGUCACUGAGGGACACGGUCCUUCAAGAAGGGAUGACAGGCUGGUAGAAUAGUGGACUAACAAGACAGAAAAGAACCAGACUGCCCAGCACAUUAAAAGAAGACUAGAAUAAGUUUUCAAAGAACAUAUCUCAAAGGAUCUUCAAAGGAUCUUCAAAGAACAACACCCAAAGGACAGGGAUGAGAGGAUGUCAUGGAGGUAGGAGUACACUUUCUGGCAACAGUUUGUUGGGACAUGUUUAGGUCCCUAUACAUUCUCUCUUUCCAGACAUAGCUAGGCAUCCUUCAGCAAGAAUUAUUUAAGCAGUGGUAGUUUGUUCUCCUCAGUAUCUGAAUUUUGCUCAGAAAGAUUAAGAAAAAAACAACACUGGAGACUGAAAAUUGUUGCUUAUGCUUUGGCAUGUAAUCCAGCAGACUGCCUUUCUCAUCCUGUCCCACUGUGCUUCCAUAUCCACUCCAGUUUGAGCUUGAGAUUAUCUUCAUACAUUCCUCUUUCCAAGAGAAGGUCCCACGUGGGGUGACACAUGGGGGCAUGGCCUGCCAACAGACGGCAGCACGAAUGAUGUCCUACGGGUACCUCGGUCUGUCUGGAUAACUCAUAGAAUCACAUAGCCAUAGAGGUUGGAAGGGACUUCGGAGAUCAUCGAGUCCAACCAUCUGCUAAAAGCAGAUUCCCUGCAGUAAGUUGAGCAGGGAAAGUGUCCAGUUGGGUCUUGAAUAUCUACAGAGAAGAUACUGAGUUACUUUGAAGAAAAAAAAAGUUGGAGGGGUUCCUGGUGUUAAUCACACAUUUUCCUCGAGCAACUGAAAAGUCUGAGUCAAUCCUGAUGUUUUGCUAACUUUGUCUUCUGGAUCCCAUCAGCAAGGCUGGUGUCCCUGAUUGUGACCCAGCCCUUGCUUGGCAGGUUAGUGGUUGCCUAGUAAGUUCAUUCCAUCAGAGAAAUCUUGCUGUUUGUUCUCCUCUGCUGUCAUUUGUCAGUCACAGAAUCACACAAUCACUAUGGUUGGAAAAGACCACUACGAUCCCAAGUCCAGCCCCAACCCACCCACACUGUGCCCACUGAGCACGUCCCUUAGCUCCACCUCCAGGGAUGGUGACUCCACCACUCCCUGGGCAGCCUGUGCCACUUCAUCACCACUCUUCUGGAGAAUAAAUUUUUCCCAAUAUCCAACCUGAACCUCCCCUGGCACAACUUAAGGCCAUCACCUCUUGUCCUGUCACUGUUCCCUGGGAGAAGAGGCUGACCCCAUCUCACAGCAACCUCCUUUCAGUAACAGUGCAAGAAAGACGGUCUAACUCCAUGCUGCAGCCUCCUUGAAGAGAAAUCAAUCCUUUAAUUAGGCAACUGCUCCAAAAGUACUGGGGCUACUCAUAUUGCUGGGCACAGAGUGGAGGGAUUUUGGAGAAGACCUCAGCAGUGCAACACCUGGAACAAAGACUCAACAGCAGCAUGUGCAGCUCGGCGCUGGAAACAGUUACCCGUCGAGUUCAAGCAGCUGCACUCAUGUGUCACCAGGCUAUGAAACACCAGCCCCGAGCUGUCAGCUCCACCAUUGAAAUUAAUGGGCCAGACUGUUUACAUUACUGGAAAUCAUCCCAUUUAAAUAUAUAUGUUAUGCUGAAUACGUAACACAACUGUGAAUUGGCAGUGUGGAGAGAAGGGGAUCGGGUCUGGAGAAGGGAAGUUGGAGGGGGACAUGACAGGGUGUAAAAGGAGAAAAUCCGGGAGAUUUCCCUCGGGGAAAAGAUAUUAAUUUGAUGAAAGAAGUGUAAGGAAAGACAAAAAUUGAUCAGAUAGCACUGGAAUGAGAGAGAUAAAGGGGACAAUCGUUUUAUGUAUGGAUAAAAGGAUGGAUAGAUAUGUGAGCUCUGUUCAAGAAUAAACUCAGGGUGGGAUCGUAUCAGUGUCCCAAGCACCAGAGGUCACUGGGAUCAAAUAUCUCCAAGGGUCACAGAGCUUUUCAGCGGUAAUGGAGAUCUUCAAAAAGAGGAAAACACACAGACUAGGAAGUGUUUUUUUUUUCUUUGUUAGUAUUCAGGAAAAGCAGCAUUUUUCUGCAGCAUUUCAAGGGAGUAAAUAAUCAAGAACAUGAUGCUGAAAGAACUGGGAAUGGGCCAGAGAACAUGGGUGUGAGGCAGGGAAUGCUCAGAUUGCAGGCAGGGUUUGAGGAAAGUGAUGGAGGCUUCUCAGUCUGAGAUGGAUGAGGAGCAGUGAACUGCAGCCUGUGCAGAUGGGGAUGCUGUCCUGGGACAAUGUGGCAGCCCAGAUCUCCUCCUCUGGGUUUGCUGUGCUGGGAAUUUCUUGCUUCCACCAAAGGAUGCCUAUUAGUUUCUCCUUUUUCUUGUCUGGGCUCUCAGUGGAAGGAUCACACCCCACGAGGCUCUGAAGAUCCUGUCAUCAUGGCUUUGUAGGAACUCCCAGGUGAUGCUGGGCUGGAGGUUAUCCAAGGUGACACUGGGAUGUUUGGGACUUCCAAGCUGACACUGGCCUGGAGAUCCAUCUGGGACUGUUCAGAAUGCAGAAAAGAAGGCUCAGGGGAGACCUUAUUGCUUUUUACAACUCCCUGAAAGGAGAUUCUAGUGAGGCAAGUGCUCGACUUCUUCUCCCAGGUAACAGCAAUAAGAUAAGAGAGACCUCAAGUUGCACCAGGGGAGGUUCAGGUUACUAGGAAAUUAGUCUGAAAAAGUCUGAAAAAGUGAUCAGGCACUGGAAUGGGCUGCCCAGGGAGGUGAUUGAGUCACCAUCCCUGGAGGUGCUCAAAGAAACGUUCAGAUGUUGUACUGAGGGACACAAUUUAGUGGGGAAAUAUCAGUGGUAGGUGAAUGGUUGGACUGGAUGAUUUUGAAGAUCUUUUCCAACCUUGGUGAUUCUAUGAUUCUAUGAUCCUCCAUGAUGACAGGGGUGUGGGGCUACUUCCAAGGUGACACUGGGUUGGAAGUCCUCCCAGCUGACACUGAGCAGUUUUUGAUCUCCAAGGCUCAGGAACAACUCAAGGCUUGGCAGAAACAUGAGUUACUCCAACAAAAGGAGAUGUGGGGACUCUGCCCUGACUUUGAUCCAUCAACUACAGACAAGAACCCUUCCUACAGAUCUGAUAAAAUCCUCAUUUUGAUGAAAAGAAGUUGGAAGAAGGGCAGAGAUCUGAACCACCAGCUUUUUAAUACAAAAUUGAAACCACAGAUAACUCAGAAUUUGUUAAUGACUGUUUAUAAGGGAAAAGACUUCUUUGUAAAGACAAAAAGGGUUGCAGCAUUCAACUCUUUGUUUUGUUCUUGCUUUCUUUUUUAUUUUUUUCCUGGGAGUUGUAAUGUUCACCUGCAUUGCCAUACAGGAGCCAGAAGAAAUGAUUCAGAAGUUAAACAUUGCUGUGAAGAGACCAUCAGUCUCACCAGCAUGUGCAAGCUCAUAACUCCAGGCAUGUGUGAAUGCAUUUUUGUUUUGCAGGAAUUUGUCUCUGCUCCAGGGUGCUGCAAGAAGCAGCCCUGCAGAGGAAGGGUGCAAUGUGAGCAGAUCCCAGCAUUCAAUCGUCAAGUAUUAAUGGGCCAGGAAUGCUGCAGCUGUAAAAUAUGGAAAGAAAAUCAUUCUGCUUUGCAGAAGGACCUCGCUGAGGAUGACUCCACCAGCACAAUCCACCAAUCUAUCACCUCCCAGAAUCCCACAUGAGAAGCCUGGAGAUCAGACAGGGAACCAUGAAUCCCACGGCUGUGCUGGAGCCCCAGAAGGACAGAGGAUGGAGAAGAGGACGUUAGAGACAGGGUGGGGACCAUGGAGCCCGGGCCAGAUGAAUGCUUCAGUAUGCUUGGAAGUGUCAGUGAAGCAAAUAGAGUGUUUCUAACACAGUCCUGAGCAUUGAAAAAUAGUGCUUAAAUUGCCUCCAGAACCGACGUGAAAUCUGAAGAUUUGGGAAUAUCUCUUGUGAUUGAUUGAGUGACUGAUAGAUUUGCUGAUACGUGUGCUAUACGUGUGUGUUAGGACUUGAUUCAGCUGUCCAAACACAGUUUCUUUGAGCCAAGCUGGAUGUUAGAAGCUCCCAGACUCCAGCUCUUCCUUCUGAAAAGCACUCAUCUCCCCUCAGAUGUGUCACUUUGCCAGGCCUGUGGGAUGCUUCAGAUGCACAAGGGCAUCUUGGAUGGCACCAGGCUCUGCGCGUGGGCAGCCAAAUCCCACCCUCUGAGUCAGAAAGAUUGCCUUCUCAAGGUUUUCUCUACAGUCGCUGGGAUCAGAACUCUGCCUUCAAAAUAAAUAACAUCCAAAGCCA